rnacentral:rRNA from 1 species
GUGUCAGCAGCCGCGGUAAUACGAAGGGGGCUAGCGUUGUUCGGAAUUACUGGGCGUAAAGCGCACGCAGGCGGAUCGAUAAGUCAGGGGUGAAAUCCCGGGGCUCAACCUCGGAAUUGCCUUUGAUACUGUCGAUCUCGAGUCCGGGAGAGGUGAGUGGAAUUCCUAGUGUAGAGGUGAAAUUCGUAGAUAUUAGGAAGAACACCAGUGGCGAAGGCGGCUCACUGGCCCGGUACUGACGCUCAGGUGCGAAAGCGUGGGGAGCAAACAGGAUUAGAAACCCUCGUAGUCC